AUUGAACGCUGGCGGCAUGCCUUACACAUGCAAGUCGAACGGUAACAGGUCUUCGGAUGCUGACGAGUGGCGAACGGGUGAGUAAUACAUCGGAACGUGCCCAGACGUGGGGGAUAACGAGGCGAAAGCUUUGCUAAUACCGCAUACGAUCUAAGGAUGAAAGCAGGGGACCGCAAGGCCUUCCGCGUUUGGAGCGGCCGAUGGCAGAUUAGGUAGUUGGUGGGAUAAAAGCUUACCAAGCCGACGAUCUGUAGCUGGUCUGAGAGGACGACCAGCCACACUGGGACUGAGACACGGCCCAGACUCCUACGGGAGGCAGCAGUGGGGAAUUUUGGACAAUGGGCGAAAGCCUGAUCCAGCAAUGCCGCGUGCAGGAUGAAGGCCUUCGGGUUGUAAACUGCUUUUGUACGGAACGAAAAGGCUCUGGCUAAUACCUGGGGCACAUGACGGUACCGUAAGAAUAAGCACCGGCUAACUACGUGCCAGCAGCCGCCGUAAUAC
rnacentral:rRNA from 1 species